AAAAAAGCAGGGUUCUAUUGACUCUAUGAAUAGAUCUCUCGUAAAAUUCAGGAAAAUCACUUCAUUGUUUUUGGGUGAACCUCUGAGGUGUUAUUAAGGACAGAAGGUUCAGUAACCGAUGGUACAUGA
rnacentral:snoRNA from 1 species